rnacentral:tRNA from 1 species
GCCGCCUUAGCUCAGUUGGUUAGAGCGCUUGAUUGUGGAUCAAGAGGUCGCUGGUUCGAGACCAGCAGGUGGUACCA